rnacentral:misc_RNA from 1 species
AGAACCAAUGCAAUCAAGAUGAAAUUGAUGUCCACAUUGAAGCUUCGACCAGGAUCUAUCCCCAUUGUCGGUUACAGCUUCAAGACAAAUCGAACACGAAACCACCGAUGCCUUAUCUUCUCCUCCACCAACAUCUCCUCCUCCUCCGUCGCCGUCAUCCGUAAGAUCCACACCAUUCAAUCCCAUAAUUUACUGUCAAACACAAGCUACAACAACUUGGUUUACUCCUAGCAAAAAGAAGAAAAGAAGAAAAAAGAAAAACGGUAAUCUUGCGUUGAUCUUUGUUGAUGAAAAAAGAAAAGGGGGGGUAUGUAAGAAAAAAAAAGAUGAGGAGAAUCCGAUUAAGAAGGCUAAGCAAAAGGGUCUCGGAAUAUUGAGGAAGCGAUUUGGUGAUAGGUGAGAAGAGAAGAGAAGAGACGAGAAGAUGGAUGAGGCUGUACAAAAACUGUGAACCUCUUUUUCUUUCUAUUUUCCUAAAAACAUAUUCUCUCUCCUCA